UCUGUACGAUCACCGCAGUUAAGCAACGUUGAGCCUGGUCAGUACCUAGAUGGGUAACUGUUUGGGAAUACCAGGUGCUGUAA